GACGAACGCUGGCGGCGUGCCUAAUACAUGCAAGUCGAGCGAAGCGGCGGAUGGGUGAGUAACGCCUGGGUAACCUGCACUUAAGUCUGGGAUACCAUUUGGAAACAGAUGCCAUUACCGGAUACUAAAGGAUGGACCUGCGAUGCAUUAGCUAGUUGGUAAGGUAACGGCUUACUAAGGCGAUGAUGCAUAGCCGGGUUGAGAGACUGAUCAGCCACAUUGGGACUGAGACACGGCCCAGACUCCUACGGGAGGCAGCAGUAGGGAAUCUUCCACAAUGGACGAAAGUCUGAUGGAGCAACGCCGCGUGAGUGAAGAAGGUUUUCGGAUCGUAAAGCUCUGUUGUUGGAGAAGCGGUAAUCAACCAGAAAGUCACGGCUAACUACGUGCCAGCAGCCGCGGUAAUUC
rnacentral:rRNA from 1 species